UACGUAGGGUGCAAGCGUUAUUCGGAAUUACUGGGCGUAAAGCGUGCGCAGGCGGCUUUGCAAGGCAGAUGUGAAAUCCCCGGGCUUAACCUGGGAACUGCAUUUGUGACUGCAUGGCUGGAGUGUGGCAGAGGGGGAUGGAAUUCCGCGUGUAGCAGUGAAAUGCGUAGAUAUGCGGAGGAACACCGAUGGCGAAGGCAAUCCCCUGGGCCUGCACUGACGCUCAUGCACGAAAGCGUGGGGAGCAAACAGG
rnacentral:rRNA from 1 species